rnacentral:rRNA from 1 species
GAUGAACGCUGGCGGCGUGCCUAAUACAUGCAAGUCGAGCGAACGGACGAGAAGCUUGCUUCUCUGAUGUUAGCGGCGGACGGGCGAGUAACACGUGGAUAACCUACCUAUAAGACUGGGAUAACUUCGGGAAACCGGAGCUAAUACCGGAUAAUAUUUUGAACCGCAUGGUUCAAAAGUGAAAGACGGUCUUGCUGUCACUUAUAGAUGGAUCCGCGCUGCAUUAGCUAGUUGGUAAGGUAACGGCUUACCAAGGCAACGAUGCAUAGCCGACCUGAGAGGGUGAUCGGCCACACUGGAACUGAGACACGGUCCAGACUCCUACGGGAGGCAGCAGUAGGGAACCUUCCGCAAUGGGCGAAAGCCUGACGGAGCAACGCCGCGUGAGUGAUGAAGGUCUUCGGAUCGUAAAACUCUGUUAUUAGGGAAGAACAUAUGUGUAAGUAACUGUGCACAUCUUGACGGUACCUAAUCAGAAAGCCACGGCUAACUACGUG